AUGAGCAUAGGUGGGUCCUGCCUGGGAACAGCGCCGGCCGAAGAGAAAUGGUGAUAAACAAGAGAGCGAUUUAAACACACUCGCUCUCGCGUAGGCAAAGGAGCAGCCGGAAGGAGGACCACUCUCUUCCAGAUUGCGGACCACCGCCACUGCAUCGACGCCGUGUGAAGCAAAGUUAUGCGUCUCCAGUAGCGGGCGGAGAGCCUAUUGCUGCAACAGCAGGGCGAGAACUACUGCAGUGUCCUAGGAAGCGCUGCAGGAGGCUCGCAAAGCCUUGCUUUGCUUCAGCUGCUGCAAUCAGUUGCAUCAGCUAGCAACUGAAUCUGCCUGCCUGCAAUCCAUCUCCUCAGUGAGCAACUCAAUCUGCCUGCCUCCAAUUGGAAUCACGUUUCCUAUUUGAAGAACACAUUGCCAAUACUCCUUCGAAGAGGUUCAAAAGUAUGCCUUAUUGAAAGAUGCAUUUGCACUUGACUUCUCCAGACUGCAGGCCCUGAUGACGUGAAACUAUGUGGUAGCACUUGCCAAUCUUUCCCACUCAUAUCAGAGAAUGAGAAUUGAUCAUGUACUCUGUGACAGAUCUUUGUUGCUUUUCUCUUGAAUUGCUACUUCUUUAUUGUGCAAGAAAUAAAAGAGCCAGAAGUAAUGGGUGGAAACUAAUCAAGGAGAGAAGCAACUUAGAACUAAGGAGAAAUUUCCUGACAGUUUGAAAAAUUAAUCGGUGGAACAACUUGCCUGCAGAAGUUGUGAAUGCUCCAACACUGGAAAUUUUUAAGAAAAUGUUAGAUAACCAUUUGUCUGAAAUGGUGUAGGGUUGCCUGCCUGGGCAGGGGGUUGGACUAGAAGACCUCCAAGGUCCCUUCCAACUCUGUUAUUAUUAUAAUCCUGCACAUUCCAAUUUUCAAUAUGGUUCUGUAGCUAUGGGCCGUCCUUUGCUAACUUUUCAGGCUCCUUGAUUCAAAUGACUGGAAAUGACUACUGCAAGAGGUUCAUAUAAGAGGUCUGAACUAUAUCCCUUAAUAGCUUCCAUUAUAUUGUUUCUAUCUUUUGGAGAUGAUGGACAGAUGUGGAUUUUUAAGAAUGACUUCAGGCAUUCUGUAUAAAUGGCUAUGGGAGGGUGAUUGUGCAUUCACAAAAUGGCUGCCAGAUGCCUAUAUGAUGCUGACGAGGCAAAACAUGGAUGAGCCACUAUGUACAAAUCUGCUAGACAUCUAUCAUUUAAUGCUAAGCAUGGCUUUGAAGAAAAUACAGCAUUUAACUUAAAUGCAGAAUGAUUUUGAAGGAAUGCCAUUGCAAAAAUGAAAUGUUCUAUCCAAUUCAAUAAAUAGCUUGCCAAGUUUAUUUGAACCAUGAUUCAAGCAUCAUCAAAAUCUCAUUCUCUUGUGUCUUCCUACUAUAGGUAAGAAACAUGUAAGAACAAAUAUAAAAAAGAGAAUAGACAAAAGGAAUGUCUAAAUUGGGAAAAAAAACCUGUUCUCUAAAUUUUACCUUUGCAUGGGUUGAUUAUUUACUGAAAACUAUAAAUGUAUUUUUAAGGUUUAUGUUUAUUCAGGAUGCUUGUAAUAUCACUUUUGAUAGAACUCCCAGAAUGAUUUAUGAUAAAAUUUGGUAAAAAACACAAUUUAACUCAAGUAGUUUUGAAUGAGGCCAUACAAAUUUAAAGGUUUGCAAUGGAAUGAAAAGUUUUUUGCUGCUGUACAUUUAAUUUUUUUUAAACCAUAAGCUUUUAUUUUUAUUCUUUUACUAUGUUGAAAUUCUUUAAAUAUUUUGAAUAUUUUUGUUCUUGCUACUUGAUUAGAUGUUCAGUUAUUAUUCCUACCAGUAUUUAUGCACAGAGCAGGAAGUGUUGCAGUAGCAAGGGGCAGGGUUGUUUUAUACAUUGCUGAGUAAUCACGCUGUGACAGAAUAAUAUGAAGGAUUUGGGGUAUUGGGAUUCCUGGGUAUAUCAUGCAGUACGAAUGAGGGAGCCAAAUUCCCUCAUUCAGAAUCAUCUCAUUCUCUAAUCCCACAAAAUAAGCAGAGGAACUUUGUAAAUAUCUAAAUAAUGCUUCUAGAGAUUCUGUUAAUAAACAGGCAAUGAUAGUGUUGGAAGUUUUAUGUGGGAAACACAAUAGAUAAAAGAAACCAUAAUAGGAAGGGAGUCCUUACCCCUAAUACAGCAUAAUAGAGAUUUCAGAUCCAACACAGUUUUUGUAUCGCAGGAUAUGCUGUAUGCAAUAAAGUUUUGUCUUCUAGGCCAUGUCAAGGGUUUUUCCUAAGGCAGUCUUCCAAAUUGUGAUGGAUAGAACCAGAAUAUGACACACAAAUCCAUCAUCUGUUGCUGUUCAUAUAGAUCUGUGAAUUUAUGAUAGCUCCAUUAGAAGCUCAUCAGCCAAAUUGAUUUUUUGCAUUACAUUGUUGUCAUUGUAGAUAUAUUCAUGAACUGGAAUAGGCAUGGCAGCCAAUGGGGACUGUUUGGCAACUGAAACAUAGUAGCUGCUGUGUGAGCCACAAGAGACAGCUAGGAGCCGGGGCGUGUCUUACCUCAAUUGUUCUGUAUAAAGAUGAAGUCUUGUCUCUGCUGUCCCUGGCCUGUGUUUGUACCUACUUACAAUCUCUUCUCUCUACCACAUUGGAAAAACCAGCAUGGAAAGCUUGACCAUGCCGCUUCAGAGUGUUGCAAAAGAUGCAACAGUUUGGAGAAGGAUUAAAUUUAAAGGGAUGUAAGGCAUAUUUGGAUUGUGCAAUAUACAGAUAAUCAAAGUCCAAAGCAUUCCCAGUGAGCAAAAGUAGCACAAGGCAGACAACGAGCUCUAGAGCUGGUAUGUGCAGAUUUCUAUUCUUUUUAAUAUUUGUUUAAAUUUUCUUUUAAUACAAAUAUUCCAUCUUACAUGUGUGUCAUCUGGGUAUAAAAUUCUUUGUGUCUUAACAAUUAAACUUACAACCAUAUUCAUUUCUUAUAUUCAUUCUUACAUUAAUAGUAAAUAAUAAUACUGAUAAAAUAACAUAAACCUAACAUUUCUCUUCUUUACUUACCUGUUUUUACAAUACAUUGCUUUUAUAUUUAUUCUCUAACCAUUGAUAAAAUAACUUCCAUAUAUUAUAAUAAUUGGAUUGUUCAUUUUCUUGAAUUGCAAGUGUUAAAUCUGUUCUUUUCUGCACAUUCUAAUAUUUCCUUAAUUACUUUUUCAUCUAUAGGGAUCUCUUUGCUUUUCCAAUUUUGUGCAAAUACAAUUCUAGCUGCGGUUAUUACAUGAAUAAUCAAAUAUACAGUUUCUUUACUAUAAACUCCCAGUAAAAUCCCCAAUAGGAACAAUUUCGGUUUUAAAUCAAUAUGUUGUUGCAUCAUCUUCUCCAGCCACAUACAAAUUUUUGCCCACUAUCUUUUUGCUUCUCCCCAUGUCUACCACAUAUGAUAAUAUGACUCCGGUGUCUGUUGGCAUUCUCAACAUUUAGCUGAUUUUUCUUUAUACAUUUUCACCAAUCUUUCGGGUGCUAAGUGUCAUCUGUAAAACAUCUUAUAUAAGUUUUCCUUGUAUGCAGGAAACAUUGACAAUGUUCAUUUGUAAUUCCUAUCCCAUAGUUGCUGCCAUUUAUCUAGCUCUAUUGUGUGAACAAAGUUUUUCACCCAUCCUAUCAUUGUUUCUUUGAUUUGUUCUUCUUCUAAUUAACACUCAAUAAGUAACUGUACAAUUUUUUUAUCGUUCUCUCUUCUAUUCCUGUCAAUAUCUUAUCCAAUUCUCUCAGUUCCAUAUAAAAAUAAAGUUUAGCAUCCUUUUCAUAUCCAGAUUGUAUUUGCAACUGUGUAUACCAAUCCAUAUCAGUCCCCUGCUUUUCCAGCUCACAUUUCAUUUUAAGUUCUCCCUUUUCCAACAAAAUAUCUUUGUAUCUAGCAAUAUUUCCCAUAUUAAUAAUAUUUGGAUGUAUAAGUGCUUCCAUUGUCAAACGCCAGACAAGUAUCUUCAGGUAGUGUUGCUCUCUAAUUUUUUUUCCAUACUAAUAACAAAGUAUUUCUUAUAUAAUGUCUUUGGAAAUAACCAUGUAUCUUAUUUUUCCCAUACCAUACAAAAGGAUGCCAACCUAUCUGCAGGUCAUGUCCCUCCAAUGUCAAUCACCUUGUGUUUCUCAAUACAAUCCAUUCCUUCAUCCGAGUUAGCGCUGCUGCCUGGUAAUAUAAUUCCAAAUUCAGUAAUCCAAACUCUCCCCUAGCUCUUACGUCUUGUAACAUUUUUAGAUUGAUUCUCACUUUCCCCCCCCUGCCAUAUAUAUUUUACUAUUAUCUUAUUGAGCUCUUCAAAAUAUUUUUUCUCCAAUUUUAUCGGUAUUGUUUUGAAUAAAAACAAUACUCUCGGUAAUAGGUUCAAUUUAAUUGUAGCUAUUCUUCCUAUUAACAAUAAUUGCAAGUUUUUCCAUCUAUGCAAAUCUACCUCAAUUUGCUUUUUUAGCUUAUACUAGUUGUCUUCCUUAAUCAUUACACAUCUUGCUUAAUUAUAUCCCUAUAUAUUUUAUUUUAUUUGUAAUUUGUAUAUCUAAUCUCUUUAUUAAGUCCCUUUUCUGUUUUUCUGUAAUAUUUUUCACUAAGAUUUUCAUUUUGUCCUCAUUGAUUUUCAGUCCUGCCACCUCACCAUAUUCUUCUAUUUUUUUAAAUAACUUUGGCCUGUUUCUUGCAGUUCUUUUAAAAUAAAUACCAAAUCAUUUGCAAAUGCCUGCAACUUAUAUUCCUCCUUUUUUAUUUCCAUUCCCUUAUCUCAUCUUAUAUUUCUGUUUAAUACCUCCAAUGUCAAUACAAAUAGCAGUGGGGAUAAAGGACAUCCCUGCCUUGUACCCUUCAUAAUAUUAACCUUUUAGUCCAUUUACCAUCACCCUUGCAGAUUGCUUAUGAUAUAUUGUCUUAAUCAUAUUAAUAACAUUUUCUCAACAAUCCAUAACUUUUAGUUGCGUCAACAUAAAUUUCCAGUUCACGUUGUCAAAGGCCUUCUGAGCAUCAAAGAAAAUCAAGGUCAUUUGUUUCCCUGGAUGUGCUUUAUAAUAUUCCAGUGUGUUCAAGAUUAUUCUCAUAUUAUCUUUAAUUUGUCUCUUAGGUAAGAAUCUAUUUUGAUCUGUAUGUAUCAACUCAUUUAAGAAUCUUUAGACUUUCUGCUAUAAUUGAAGCAAAUAUCUUAUAAUCCGCAUUCAACAGAGAGAUCAGUCUGUCAUUUUUUAACUGUUUCAAGUCUGCGUCUCCUUUUGGUAUAAGAGUAAUAUACGCCUCCAUCCACGAAGUCGGUAUUUUCGCCUCUAUCAGCAGGUCGUUGAAUAUUUCCAACAUCAUAUUACUUAUAACAUUGUGCAGUGUUUUAUACAGUUCUGCUGGUAGCCCAUCUGGAUCCCGUGUUUUGCCAUUCUCAUCCAUUAAUUGGUAAAUUAGCUUUUUCUCCUGCUCUUUUUUUCAGUCUAUAUGCCAACCACCUUCCCAGUUUAUUUGCAUUUUCAAAAAAAGUUUUGUUUACCUCUCUUAAUCUUUUGUGCUGUCUUCUUUUUCUGUUAAGUUUAGUUUAUGCUUUUUUCAAAUCUAUUUGAUCUUUUAUGUUCUUUUUUCAUAGGUCUUUUUGUAGUUCUAUCCUCUAUCUUUUUAUAUUCCUCUUCUAAUUGCUUUUGAGUUUGUCUUUUCUUUUUAUUCCUCUUUCCCGCAUAUGUUAUUGCCAGUCCUCUAAUAUAUGCUUUUGCUGUAACCCAUACAUUUUGUAAUGGUGUUUCUUCUUUUCUAUUCUCUUUGAAGAAGAAGGCCAGCUCUAUUUCCAUAAAUUGUAUAAAGUCUUUUUCUUUUAAAAUCAUUUGGUUCGUUGUCCAUCUUAACUUCUUUUUUGUACUCUCCAUAUAAUUUUCAUUGGGUUAUGAUCCGCACAUGUGCUUGCUUCUAUACUUAUUUCUUGUAUAUUGGGUAGUAACUCAGUUGAUAUCCACAUCAUGUCUAUUUUAGACCAAGACAUAUGUCUAUUAGAGUAAAAUGUGUAUUGAUUUUUGUCCAGAUGUAUCCCAGGCUAAGCAUCUUGCAUACCUAAUUCUACCAUUUUAAAAAAGAUUUUUGGAAGUGUCUUUCUAGCUCUUUUAUUUCUUUUUUUAAGUUCUAUAGUCCAAUUCUGCAUACAUUUACAUUUUACAACAAUUACAUUGAAUGGUAUAUGCAGAUUUGGUGGGACCAAUGCAAGCCAGUUUGGGAGGAGUAAAGUAUGCGCUGGUCAUUGUAAAUGACUACAGCAGGUUUGGGUUCUGCUAUUUACUAAAAAGUAAAAUAGAGGUGCCCCUUCAUGGAUUACUGCCUUGUCGUGGCGAAGGGGCUUGUGUAGCUCAAUGAAGCUAUAAGCUAUGCCAUGCAGGGAAACCCAAGACGGACAGGUCAUAGCAGAGAGUUCAGACAAAACAUGAUCCACUGGAGAAAGAAAUGGCAACCCACUCCAGUAUCUUUGCCAUGAAAAUCCCAUGGACAAAAAGGAAAAAAGAUAUGACGCCGGAAGAUUACCCCCUCAGGUCGGAACGUGUCCAAUAUGCUACUGGGAAAGAGCAGAGGGCUAGUACUAGUAGCGCCAGAAAGAAUAAAGUGACUGGGCCAAAGCCGAAAGGACGCUCAGCUGUGGAUGUAUCUGGUGGUGAAGGAAAGUCUGAUGCUGUAAAGAUUUUUUUCCCAUAGGAACCUGGAAUGUAAGAUCCAUGAAUCAAGGUAAGCUGGACGUGGUCAAACAAGAGAUGACAAAACUGAACAUCGACAUCAGCGAACUAAAAUGGGCAGGAAUGGGUGAAUUUAAUUCAUAUGACCAUCAGGUAUACUACUGCAGGCAAGAAUCCCUCAGAAGAAAUGGAGUAGUCUUCAUAAUCAAUAAAAGAGUAGGAAAAGCAAUACUGGGAUACAAUCCCCAAAAUGACAGAAUGAUCUCAGUUUGAAUCCAAGGCAAACCAUUCAAUAUCACAGUAGUCCAAGUCUAUGCCUCAACCAUUGGUGCUGAAGAGGAUGAAAUUGACCAGUUCUAUGAAGCCCUACACCACCUUAUAGAAUUAACACCCAAAAAUCAUGUCCUUAUCAUCAUGGGAGAUUGGAAUGCUAAAGUAGGAAACCAAAAGAUAACUGGAAUAACAGGCAAGUUUGGCCUUGGAGUACAAAAUGAAGCAGGGCACAAGCUGAUAGAAUUCUGUCAAGAUAAUAUGAUGGUCAGCAAACACUCUUUUCCAACAAUCCAAGAGACAACUCUACACAUGGAUAUCACCAGACAGUCAACACAGAAAUCAGACUGACUAUGUGCUCUGCAGCCAAAGAUGGAGAAGCUCUAUACAGUCAGUAAAAACAUGACGAAGAGCUGACUGUGGCUCAGAUCAUGAGCUUCUCCUUGCAAAAUUUAGGCUUAAACUGAAGAAAGUAGGGAAAAGCCCCUGGCCAUUCAGGUAUGAACUAAAUCAUAUCCCUGGUGAAUAUACAGUAGAGGUGACAAAUAGAUUUAAGUAAUUAGAUCUGAUAGACAGAGUGCUUGAAGAACUAUGGAUAAGGUUUGCAACAUCGUAUAGGAGGUAGCAACUAAAACCAUCCCAAAGAAAAAGAAAUGCAAGAAAGCAAAAUGGCUGUCUGAGGAAGCUUUGCAAAUAGCUGAGGAAAGAGGGAAGCGAAAGGCAAGGGAGAAAAUAAAGAUACACUCAGUUGAAUGCAGAAUUCCAGAGAAUAGCUAGAAGAGAUAAGAAUACAUUCUUAAAUGAACAGUGCAAAGAAAUAGAAGAAAACAAUAAAAUAGGGAAGACCAGAGAUCUCUUCAAGAAAAUUUGAGAUAUGAAGGGAACGUUUCAUGCAAAGAUGGGCAUGAUAAAGGACCAAAAUAGCAGGGACCUAACAGAGGCAGAAGAGAUUAAGAAGGGGUGGCAAAAUUACAGAGAAGAACUAUACAAGAAUGAGCUUAAUAUCCUGAUAACCAAGAUGGGGUGAUCACUGACCUUGAGGCAGACAUCCUACAAUGUGAAGUCAAAUGGGCCUUAGGAAAUCUGAGCAACAACAAAGCUAGUGGAGGAGACAGUAUUCCAGCUGCGUUAUUCAAAAUCUUAAAAGAUGAUGCAGUAAAAGUGCUAUGCUCAAUUUGUCAGCAAAUUUGGAAAACUCAUCAGUGGCCACAGGAUUGGAAAUGGUCAGUUUACAUUCCAAUUCCAAAGAAAGGCAAUGCCAAACAAUGUUCAAACUAUCGCACCAUUGCACUGAUUUAACAUGUUAAUAAGGUUAUGCUUAAAAUAGUACAAGCUAGGCUCCAGGCAGUAUGUGAAUCGAGAACUACCAGAAGUGCAGGCAGGAUUUCAAAAGGCAGAGGAACUAGAGAUCAAAUUGCCAACAUACGCUGGAUCAUGGAGAAAGCUGGAGAGUUCCAGAAAAACAUCUAUUUCUGCUUCAUUGACUAUGCAAAAGCCUUUGAUUGUGUGGAUCACAACAAAUUGUGGCAAGUUCUUAAAGAGAUGGGAGUAUCAGACCAUCUUAUUUGUCUCUUGAAAAACCUGUAUGCGGGUCAAGAAGCAACAGUGAGAACUGGACACGGAACCACUGAUUGGUUCAAAAUUGGGAAAGGAGUCUGGCAAGGCUGUAUACUAUCACCCUGCCUAUUUAAUUUAUAUGUAGAGCACAGCAUGAGAAAGGCGGGGCUGGAUGAAUCAAAAAUUGGAAUUAAGAUUGCCGGAAGAAAUAUCAACAACCUCAGAUAUGCAGAUUAUACCACUCUAAUGGCAGAAAGCGAAGAGGAAUUAAAAAGCCUCUUGAUGCAGGUGAAGGAGGAGAGUGCAAAAGUUGGCUUGAAAUUCAACAUUAAGAAAACUAAGAUCAUAGCAUCCGGCCCUCUCAACUCCUGGCAGAUAGAUGGGGAGGAAAUGGAGGUAGUGACAGAUUUUAUUUUCCUGGGCUCCAAGAUCACCGCAGAUGGGGACUGCAGCCAAGAAAUUAAAAGACGCUUGUUCCUGGGGAGGAAAGCUAUGGCAAAUCUAGACAGCAUACUAAAAAGCAGAGACAUCACCCUGCCAAUAAAAGUGCGUAUAGUCAAGGGUAUGGGUUUUCCCAGUUGCAAUGUAUGGCUAUGAAAGUUGGACCAUAAGAAAGGCUGAGCGCCAAAGAAUUUAGGCCUUUGAACUCUGGUGCUAGAAAAGACUCCUGUUAGUCCCUUGGACUGCAAGGUGAUCAAACUAGAGGAGAUCAACCCUGACUGCUCUUUAGAAGGCCAGAUCCUGAAGAUGAAACUGAAAUACUUUGGCCACCUAAUGAGAAGGAAGGACUCACUGGAGAAGAGCCUAAUGCUGGGAAAGAUUGAGGGCAAAAGAAAAAGGGGACGACAGAGAAUGAGGUGGCUAGAUGGAGUCACUGAUGCAGUAGGCGUGAGCUUAAAUGGACUCCAAAGGAUGGUAGAGGAUAGGAAGGCCUGGAGGAACGUUGUCCAUGGGGCGCGAUGGGUCAGACAUGACUUCGCAACUAACAACAACAACAAAAUAGAGGUGCUACAGAAAUUUAAACAAUGGGUAAGCGGCAGGUAUGUCAGCUGCAAACUGACAGAGGUUCAAAAUUCAUGUCAGCAAGUUUUCAAUAACGGUUGGGACAGUAGGAAUAAAACACAGAUGCACAAAUCUGUACACAGCAGCUGAGAAUGGCGUGGUUGAGAGACAGAAUGGAGUCUUACAAACAAUGAAGGAUUCUGGAGGAUUCUGGUCUGAGCAGGUCAUAUUGAGGUGAAGCCAUGUUGACUGCUAAUUAUUUAAUCAAUAGGCUGUGGAGUUCCUCUAUUAAUAAUAUUCCAUAUGCAGUGCUCUGUGAGAGAAAGACAUCUCUGGCAAAAUUAAGGGUGUUUGGAAGCAAUGCAUGGGUGCAUAUUCCAAUAGCAAUUAGAAGAAAAUUACAACCAAAAGCUAGAAAGCUCAGGUUUACAGGCUGUGAGCCAGGCUCAAAGAGCUAUCGCUUUAGACAUGGGAGCAAAAGAAUAGUGAUUUCCAAGUCUGCUAGCUUUGUAGAGCAAAAUUGGAACAGAAUUGAUGCCAAUUUUUGGAAUUAUCCACUUAGUGAUGGUGAUCCACUUGGUAACUCACUUAGUGAUGGCAACUCACUUAGUGAUGAUGUCAUUGUUCAGGGAGGAGAAGCUGAAAAAGAUAUGAAGCAAAAGAUGGUUGAAGCACAGCAGCGGUCAAUACCACGCAGGUCAGAGCAUGGAACAAAGGAAUUCCACCUGACAGGUAUUCUGCUAGUAAAGUAAAGGUGUAUAAUGUGUGAUAUGAGCCAAGGAACUAUAAGGAAGUAUUGGCAUUACUUAAAAUUGAACAAGUAAAGUGGAAAGAAGCCAUGGACAAAGAAAUAAAAUCAGUGGUGAAAUCCAAAUUUUUUUACUACUGGUUCUGUGGGCGUGGCUUGGUGGACAUGGUGUUGCUUGGUGGGCGUGGCUUGGGCAUGGCAGGGGAAGGAUACUGCGAAAUCCCCAUUCCCUGCCCACUCCUGGGGAAAGGAUAUUGCAAAAUCUCCAUUCCCACCCCACUCUGGGACCAGGCAGAGGUGGAUUUGCCAGUUCUCCAAACUACUCAAAAUUUCUGCUAUCAGUUCUCCAGAACCUGUCAGAACCUGCUGGAUUUCACCCCUGAAUGAAAUCCAUGGGUGAACGUAAAGUCUUCACCUCUAUGACUUUGCCACAGGGUAGCAAAGUCGUAGGAUGCAAAUGAGUGUACAAAAAGAAAAUACUACCCAAUAAUGAGGUACAAUAUAAGGCAAGGUUAGUGGCACAAGGUUUUUCACAGAAAAAUGAAAAUAGUGCAAAUGUGCACUAUGAUGAGGUAUUCACACCUGCAGUAAAGAGUGAAAGCAUAAAGCUUGCACUAGCAUUGGCAGCAGCACAUGGCCAUAAAAUUUGGCAUUUUGACAUAACCACUGCAUUCCUCAAUGCAGAAUUAGGUGAAGAAACUUACAUGGUUCAAGCACCAGGUAUGAAAAUAAAAAGCCUAACACAGUGUAUAAAUUGAACAAGGCCAUUUAUGGGCUGAAGCAGUCAGCCAGCAAUUGGAAUAUCUGUUUAGAUAGGGCAUUGAAGGGUCUUGGGUUCAAGAGUUGAAAGGCUGAUGGUUGCCUAUACACUGGAAAGUUACAAGGUGAGGAUUAUCAACUAUUAGCAUUUCUGGAUGAUCUUUGUUCCAUUGCAAAAAGAUGUGUCACAGGUUUGCUAAUAAGUUAGAGAAGUUUGAAUUAAAAAAUUUGGGAGAAAUACAAAAUUAUCUUGGUAUAGAGAUACAAAAAACUGAGAAAGAUGGUUAUGUUCUCAGUCCAAAAAGAAAAUUGAACAGCUAUUGGAGAAAUACAAUAUGAAGGAUUGUAAUUCUGCUCCAACAUCUAUAAGCACAGAUUUUUCUAACAGUUUGGGUAGGGAUGAAAGUGAAGCUUGUGAUCAAGAGUUAUAUCAGUCAGCAAUAGAGAGCCUGUUAUAUCUGUCACAGAGGUCCAGACCAGACAUAGCUGGUGCAGUAAGCAUUUUGAGUCACUUUACUGCUGCACCAAUGCAAUUGCUUUAGAUGGGUGUAAAAAGGAUUCUCAGGUAUUUGAAGGAAACUGUGAAUUUGGGUCUUCAAAUACAGGUCUCUGAAGAAUUAAAAUUUAAAGGUUGAUAAUAAUUAUGCCAAUGAUGUAAAAACCAGAAAGUUCAAUUCUGGAAUGGUGGUAUUGUUUGGAGGGGCUUUAAUUGGUUGGAAGUCCAGAAAGCAAAUAACUGUAGCCAUUUCUACUGAAAAGGCAGAAUUUAUUGUUUUAUCUGAACUUUGUUCGGGGUAACAUGGUACGUACAACUGUUACAGGAUUUAAAUGUAAAGAUAAAUGAAGCUGUAACAGUGUUUGAGUAUAAUGCUUCCUGCAUUAAAAUGGCAACAUAUGACAGAGUAAAAAAUAGAAGCAAGCAUGUGGACAUUAAAUAUUGCAAUAUAAGAGAAGCCAUCAAAUGUAAAUUUAUUAACUGUGCAUGCCCCAAGAUGGCGCUACGAUGAGCUAGCAGUGGAGAGUGGCGGGUCUUUUUCCAGUCGGCCUGGACCGGAGGGGCCAUUUUUGGCCACCCCGGUCCCAGGCCCUGCCGGGGGAGUAUCUCGCCAGUCUGUAGGUGAGAGACUGGCUUCGGCUGGGGUUCGGGCAGGCGGCGGUCCCCGUUCGUGUUUUUGGCCUGGGAUGGCGUGGUGGCGGUUUUCUGGUGGCGGCGGCCCUUCCCUGGCCGGCCCAGACUGGGGGUACCGUGGUUUGGCCCUUUGGCAUUGGAGGAGUCGGAGGAGGAGCCAUCUUGCCGGAGGUCAGGCAAGCGGUGGCCCUUAUGCUGGUGUUCGGUCUGGGAUGGCAGCGGUGGCGGUGGCGGCGGCGGAUUUCCGGCAGUGGCGGUGGCCUUUUCCCUUGCCGACCCGAACUGGAGGGCCCUCCCUCUGGCCUCUUUGGUGCUGGGCCCUGGAACCAUCUUGCCAGCCCAGAGGAGGGAGGCUGGCUUUAAAUUGAGGCUCAGGGUGAGUGGUGGCUUAGCUGGGCCUUCAAUGUGUGAUGGUGGUGGCGACGGCGGUGGCGACGGCGGUAUUCCAGCGCGUCGGCAGGGGCGUUGGUUUGGCGUUCACCAGAGAACCCAGCGGCCCCACGGAGCCCUUGUAGUCCACGGAUCAUCUAGCCAGCCGGGAAUGACGAUUUUUGGGGCGAGUUGUGGCCCGUGGGUUCUGUCGAAUGGAGACGGUGGCGGCGGCAGCGGUGACGUCAUGUCCCACAAAACACCACGGUGCCCCCAUGGGGUCCCCCUUUGAGACUUGGGGUUAGCCGAGGUUGUAGUUUCCAUCUUUGGCGGCGGAGGCUUCUCCUUCUUUGGGGCCCUUGGAGGCUUGGGUGGCUGGACUGGACGAUGGCCACAGAAAUGGCGGUCAUCUUAGGUCAUUUUCCAUCUUCUGACCUCCAAUCUUCCUGUCAUCUAAGUUAAUCCCCGGUGAGGGCGUUACCAUCGAUACCAUCAGGACUGACUGGGACUAGACCAUUCGUCACUGUCUUAAGCUUUGAUGUACUCAUCUGUGCAACUCCUUGGUCUGUGAGAUUCCCCCCUCUUGCAAAUUUGGCCCUCCAAUCUAUCGAGGGCCUACCUCGAUGACGGAUUUUGGAAUCCCGAGAGGUGGCAUGCAGCCAAAAAAGGAC